AUUGAACGCUGGCGGCAGGCCUAACACAUGCAAGUCGAGCGGAUGAAGGGAGCUUGCUCCUGGAUUCAGCGGCGGACGGGAGAGUAAUGCCUAGGAAUCUGCCUGGUAGUGGGGGAUAACGUCCGGAAACGGGCGCUAAUACCGCAUACGUCCUGAGGGAGAAAGUGGGGGAUCUUCGGACCUCACGCUAUCAGAUGAGCCUAGGUCGGAUUAGCUAGUUGGUGGGGUAAAGGCCUACCAAGGCGACGAUCCGUAACUGGUCUGAGAGGAUGAUCAGUCACACUGGAACUGAGACACGGUCCAGACUCCUACGGGAGGCAGCAGUGGGGAAUAUUGGACAAUGGGCGAAAGCCUGAUCCAGCCAUGCAGCGUGUGUGAAGAAGGUCUUCGGAUUGUAAAGCACUUUAAGUUGGGAGGAAGGGCAGUAAGUUAAUACCUUGCUGUUUUGACGUUACCAACAGAAUAAGCACCGGCUAACUUCGUG
rnacentral:rRNA from 1 species